CUUCGAAAGAAGCCAUUCAAGAGGCGCUGGCUCUGGAUGAGAUCAAAACUCACCACUGGUGCAUCAUGGGUUGCAGCGCAGUGACAGGAAAGAACUUGUUGGCCGGAGUAGACUGGUUACUGGAUGACAUCUCCGCAAGAAUCUUCACAGUAGAAUGACCCAAUUUAGAGUUCAAUU